CCUACGGGAGGCUGCAGUGGGGAAUAUUGGGCAAUGGAGGCAACUCUGACCCAGCAACGCCGCGUGAAUGAUGAAGGCUUUCGGGUUGUAAACUUCUUUUAUGAGGGAAGAAGAUAAUGCCGUUCCCUUUGGAUUAGGCAUCGGCUAACUACGUGCCAGCGGCGGGGGUAAUACGUAGGAGGCAAGCGUUAUCCGGAUUGACUGGGCGUAAAGGUUGGGAAGGCGGUGUGACAAGUCAGUGGGGCAACCCCGGGGCUCAACUUCUGAACUCCUUCUAAAACUGUUCGACUUGAGUGCAGGAGGGGCAAUCGGAAUUCCUAGUGUAGCGGUGGAAUGCGUAGAUAUUAGGAGGAACACCAGUGGCGAAGGCGGAUUGCUAGACUGUAACUGACACUGAGGCACGAAAGCGUGGGGAGCAAACAGGAUUAGAUACCCUAGUAGUC
rnacentral:rRNA from 1 species